UUGGGAAAGAAAAUUGAUCCUGGCUCAGGACGAACGCUGGCGGCGUGCCUAAUACAUGCAAGUCGAGCGAAUCUGAGGGAGCUUGCUCCCAAAGAUUAGCGGCGGACGGGUGAGUAACACGUGGGCAACCUGCCUGUAAGACUGGGAUAACUCCGGGAAACCGGGGCUAAUACCGGAUAAUUCAUUUCCCCUCAUGGGGAAAUGCUGAAAGACGGUUUCGGCUGUCACUUACAGAUGGGCCCGCGGCGCAUUAGCUAGUUGGUGAGGUAACGGCUCACCAAGGCCACGAUGCGUAGCCGACCUGAGAGGGUGAUCGGCCACACUGGGACUGAGACACGGCCCAGACUCCUACGGGAGGCAGCAGUAGGGAAUCUUCCGCAAUGGACGAAAGUCUGACGGAGCAACGCCGCGUGAGCGAUGAAGGCCUUCGGGUCGUAAAGCUCUGUUGUUAGGGAAGAACAAGUAUCGGAGUAACUGCCGGUACCUUGACGGUACCUAACCAGA
rnacentral:rRNA from 1 species